rnacentral:rRNA from 1 species
CAGUAGCCGCGGUAACACGUAGGUCCCGAGCGUUGUCCGGAUUUAUUGGGCGUAAAGGGAGCGCAGGCGGUUUAGUAAGUCUGAAGUUAAAGGCUGUGGCUUAACCAUAGUACGCUUUGGAAACUGUUUAACUUGAGUGCAAGAGGGGAGAGUGGAAUUCCAUGUGUAGCGGUGAAAUGCGUAGAUAUAUGGAGGAACACCGGUGGCGAAAGCGGCUCUCUGGCUUGUAACUGACGCUGAGGCUCGAAAGCGUGGGGCGCAAACAGGAUUAGAUACCCGUGUAGUCCCUGUCUCUUAUACA